UACGUAGGCAGCGAGCGUUGUUCGGAGUUACUGGGCGUAAAGAGCUCGUAGGCGGCUCGGUAAGUCGGAUGUGAAACCUCCAGGCUCAACCUGGAGACGCCAUCUGAUACUGCCGUGGCUUGAGUCCGGUAGAGGAGCAGGGAAUUCCUGGUGUAGCGGUGAAAUGCGCAGAUAUCAGGAGGAACACCAGCGGCGAAGGCGCUGCUCUGGGCCGGUACUGACGCUGAGGAGCGAAAGCGUGGGGAGCGAACAGG
rnacentral:rRNA from 1 species